CCUACGGGUGGCUGCAGUGAGGAAUAUUGGUCAAUGGGCGCAAGCCUGACCCAGCAAUGCCGCGUGAAGGAAGAAGGCCUUCGGGUUGUAAACUUCUUUGACAGGGGAAGAGCAGAAGACGGUACCCUGAAAACAAGCCACGGCUAACUACGUGCCAGCAGCCCCGGUAAUACGUAGGUGGCAAGCGUUGUCCGGAUUUACGGGGUGUAAAGGGCGGGUAGCCGGGAAGGCAAGUCAGAUGUGAAAUCCGGGGGCUCAACCUCCGAAUUGCAUUUGAAACUGGCAAACUGGAGUGUGUGAGAGGAUAGUGGAAUUCCAGGUGUAGGAGUGAAAUCCGUAGAUAUCUGGAGGAACAUCAGUGGCGAAGGCGACUAUCUGGCACAUAACUGACGCUGAGGAGCGAAAGCGUGGGUAGCAAACAGGAUUAGAUACCCUAGUAGUC
rnacentral:rRNA from 1 species